ACGGGAGGCAGCAGUGGGGAAUAUUGCACAAUGGGCGCAAGCCUGAUGCAGCGAUGCCGCGUGAGGGAAGAAGGUUUUCGGAUUGUAAACCUCUGUCAACAGGGACGAUAAUGACUAUACCUGUGAAGGAGCUCCGGCUAACUACGUGCCAGCAGCCGCGGUAAUACGUAGGGAGCAAGCGUUAUCCGGAAUUACUGGGUGUAAAGGGAGUGUAGGCGGGACUGUAAGUCAGAUGUGAAAUAUGCCGGCUCAACUGGCAGACUGCAUUUGAAACUGCGGUUCUUGAGUGAAGUAGAGGUAAGCGGAAUUCCUAGUGUAGCGGUGAAAUGCGUAGAUAUUAGGAGGAACAGCAGUGGCGAAGGCGGCUUACUGGGCUUUAACUGACGCUGAGGCUCGAAAGCGUGGGGAGCAAACAGGAUUAGAUACCCUGGUA
rnacentral:rRNA from 1 species